UCGCCUCUCCCUGUCUUAUCUCCUUCCUCUAGAGAGGUCUGGCCACUUUUAUUCCCCAACGCAAGCUUGUACUGCUCCGGCGAUGUCUUCCCUUCGUAGGCUCACCUCUUUGCGCUGCUUGUGCCCCUAUUGCUUCUACCGGCUGCUGCAAGGAAUGGCCGGGGGAUGAAGGUGCUGCGCGAAUCGACCUGGGACGCUGCUGCCGCACAACGGCGAGCUCAACGAGCCCGACGAUGACGGCAAGCAGCGACCUGUAAGGGGAGGAGGGGCACGCCUGGGCCGCCGCGCUUCCUCGACCGCUGCGACGCCCUCCAUGAUGGGCGCCCCAAGAUUCUUCGGCCGCAGGAGGCGUCUGACGGCAGCGGCACGUCUCCGGUCAAAUCCAAUGAAAAACAGCCCUCCUGUCCGGCCAAGCGACCAAGCCCCAAUAGCAAAACCCAAUGGUCGUCGCGCAGCAGAUGCCGUCCAACCAAGUUUGUGUUUCCACAUUGCUUCUUAUGGCAUUGAAAGCGUCUUCAAAGGCUUCCUCUUCCUCAUACUUGUACAUGCAAGCACUGAAAUCAGCAAGUACAUUUGGUCCAUCCUCGUCUUUUUUCUUAUGAGCUUCACCAUACAUCAAGUCCCUUUGUCGCCUGGUUCGCAAGUGGUUCUUGGGAUCACGACAUGUGUAGCCAAGGUUCAGUGGACCACCAACUUGUCGACUUGCUAACUCAUGGGAUUUUCUAGGUACAAUUCCUGAAUCAUCUGCUGUUUCAAUUUCAAAUGCUUGCAAGGCUGAAAUCUUCCUCUGUGAUGGCAUCAAGUGGCUUGUCCCAGGUAAUUGCAAGACAUGGUUGUGUUCAACAACUAACUCAUGCACCUCAUAAUUUCGUGCUUCUCGGUCUAUAGUAAUUCCCAUUCGAACAUUGCAGCCGGUCCUUGUUUCUGCACGAGGACGCUUUGUAUUAUUACCCCUUUUGUCUUUUCUUCUAUAGCCCUCGUUGGAACAAACAUAUCUUGCUGAGGAGAAUCUUUAUCGCCUACGGAUCAGCUUGCCUUGGUUUCACUCUGAUUAUGGAGGACGAUCAGAAGAAAGAUAGGGCAAAAGGGAGUUGAUCUGCGCCGGGGUUCGGCUCCUUAGCUUGCCUUGGUUGCGCUCGGAACAUGGAGGACAAUCAGAAGAAAGAUAGGGCAAAAGGGAGUUGAUUUGUGCCACGUACAGAUCACAGAUCAACGUACCUUUGUCAUAUUAUUUUACAAGGACGAACAGGAGGAAUGAGAAAGAUGAGCGGGACAAAGGCAAAGAGAUCCCUGUUUGGCGCCAAGGAAGUUAUCAGGGUGUGUUUUGUUUGGCGCCAGGUUCUGUUUGGCGGCAAUCCUGCAGCCAUACGAGAUUUUCUACCACAUAAUUAGCUGUUUGUUUCCAUUUAUUAACAGAAUCGAGUGGGGAUAAUGAGAGCCGUCAGAUUUAAAUGGAUGGCUGAUGUGGGUUGGUACAGUACCCGUGCAGUAAUAACGUGACUGCAGAGGAGCCGAAGAGCACUCUCUGUCCGUCAUCCCAGGUUCCACACGAUUUUUCUGCCAUAUCGUGUGCCUGACAUGACCUCACCUGAGGGAGUAACAAUUAAACUUGGAUUAUUUAUGGGGCUGCUAUGCGUCGGCCGACGGAUCGCGAGCAGUCGGAUCCGAUGGAUUCUCACCCGCACCGCCCCGCCAUCGACUUCCGUCAUUGCAACCUCCACUCUACUUGGCCCAGGAGGCCCGGCGGCCCUGUGGUUGCCAGUGGCGAGCGAAGGUCGUCUUCGUCGUCACCUGGUAGCAACAGGGGGCGGGCGAUGUUGAUAGAGGAGAGGGAAGAGCA